UCUACUGUUUUCUAUGCUCUCUGUCUCUGCAUCAUAAAAUGAGUGUCCGCCGUAAAAGUCGCGAUCUUUUACGCAUAUUUUAAGCUUCCAUUCGUCUUCUAGGUUUGUAAUGAAGUAGUUUUUAAUCCAAGUUAUGCUACCCCCUCCAUAUGAAACAAAAACAUCAAAUCUGUAAUUUUUACCGUAUUUCUUUUCAACAAUUUUUUGGAGUAUGCGGUAAAACAAUAUAGCUAUGUUCCAU
rnacentral:lncRNA from 1 species